CCCUGCGGAAGGAUCAUUA
rnacentral:ncRNA from 2 species